CGUUUCAGAACUAUGCAAGGAUAUUUGAGGAGAGGUUAUCCGUGUUAUGUUCGCUUCAUUCAUCAUGAAUAAUACAUGGUUAACCUCUUUUUGAAUAUCAGACUCUGCCUCGGAGGGCCG
rnacentral:pre_miRNA from 1 species